rnacentral:rRNA from 1 species
AUGAACGCUGGCGGCGUGCUUUAGGCAUGCAAGUCGAACGGGUUUGGCGCAAGUCAAGCCAGUGGCGGACGGGUGAGUAACACGUAGGUACGUACCCCUAAAUAUAGGAUACCUAGCCGAAAGGUUAGCUAAUACUGUAUAGUCCACGUUCAAUUAAAUGAACGUGGUAAAGAACUUAACUGUUCGUUUAGGGAGCGGCCUGCGGCCUAUCAGCUAGUUGGUGGGGUAAUGGCCUACCAAGGCGAUGACGGGUAGGGGGUGUGAGAGCACAACCCCCCACAAUGGCACUGAGAUACGGGCCAUACGUCUACGGACGGCAGCAACCGGGAAUAGUUGGCAAUGGGCGCAAGCCUGACCACGCGACGCCGCGUGCGGGAUGAAGGCCUUCGGGUCGUAAACCGCUUUUGCUGGGGAUGAAAUCCGGCUUUGCUGGACUGACAGUACCCAGAGAAUAAGCACCUGCAAACUACGU